GAACUGGGCCUGCUGGGUUUUGGCGUUCUUAAGGCGUGGCUGUGGAAGUGAACGGGAUUCUGGUCCUCUUUUCCUGACUAGAGAAAAUACAAUCCCCAGCAGGCAUCGCGGUUGACUGUCUUCCCACCCACGCCGCCCCACCCCCUCUGCUCCCCGAUGUCCUCGUGCGCUUGCGACUUGCUGGAGCUGUUGCUGAAGUCGCUGCAAGCAAGGACCACCCUAGAGAAGCUUCUGCCCUCUGUUUUGAGAGAAAGGAGAGACAUCCUCCCCAUCACUACUCCCAAACCUCCUGAAAGUAGGAGCCUUCUUGAACCUGUGCUAACCUGGAGGAGACAAAGAACUCUGGGAUCUCUUCCAGCCCCAGUGUACCAACCGAGCCUUCUGAUCCUGGUGGUU
rnacentral:lncRNA from 1 species